rnacentral:rRNA from 1 species
AUGCCGUCGCGCACCAAGCACAUGGAGGAGAUCUCAGAAGAACUAGAUGUUCUUUGCGCCGAAGUCACGGCGAUGACGCACAAGCAAGGUCAGAUCCAAGAUCAAGUGGAAGAAAUCAACUCCCGCCUGUCCAAGGUAGGAGCCUUGGAAGCCCAGAUCGGCAAGGUGGAAACACUGGUCGAGAAUAAUUCCAAGAUUCAGACCGAGAUUUUUGCUCUCCUGAGAGAAAUGCAAGGUGAAAAUACCCGCCCUCCCAACCCUGAUUCACCUUCGUCGUCACGCAACACAGCAGUGCAACAAGACUCUGCUCCCAGUCAACAGCUCACAGUGCAAGAUCUGCAAAAACAAAUGGAAGUACUUGUACAAACACAUCUGAAACAAGCGGAGCAACAACCAAAAACAGCAGAAACUCAUCUGACCACAAGUGAGCAGCACAGAUCUGAACGUGCAACUCAGUUUCUCAAAAACAUCUCCAAAGGCCCUAAGAUUGAUUUCCCAUGUUUCAAUGGUGACAAUCCUCUGGGCUGGAUCAGACAAGUAAAUAAGUAUUUCCAACUGGCUCAAGUUCCUGACGAAUGCAAGGCAGACUUAUCCCUCACCUAUUUCAUUGGGCGAGCUGAUAACUGGGUCAGAGGUGCACAGUUAGAGAAUUAUGCUAUACCCUGGAAAGAUUUCUGCAGGUUGUUAUGUGAUCGCUUUGCAGAUUCUAGUAUCUAUGAGAUAUUAGAAAAAUUCCACAAUGUCAAGCAAGGAACAUUGACAGUGGCAGCUUACAUUGAUAAGUUUGAAGAGAUCAUGGGUGUGGUUAGAGAUGAGCACCCCUACCUGCAAGAGCACUACUAUCUUGUGAGUUUCAUCAAUGGACUGAAACCAACGACCAGAUGUAACCUAAGACCACAGAGACCCAAACUCCUCACCCAAGCUUACUAG